CAAAGAAUAGUUAAAUUGAAAAUUCUAGCUUUGGGAGUUAGUGAUGGAGGUUAGAACCCUUCUUCUUUGA
rnacentral:tRNA from 1 species